ACACUGUUGAACCUAGAGGACAUCAUGGUA
rnacentral:piRNA from 1 species